UACGUAGGGUGCGAGCGUUGUCCGGAAUUAUUGGGCGUAAAGAGCUCGUAGGCGGCCUGUUGCGUCGGUUGUGAAAGCCCGGGGCUUAACCCCGGGUCUGCAGUCGAUACGGGCAGGCUAGAGUCCGGGAGAGGAGAGUGGAAUUCCUGGUGUAGCGGUGAAAUGCGCAGAUAUCAGGAAGAACACCCGUGGCUAAGGCGGCUCUCUAGUACGGUACUGACGCUGAGACGCGAAAGCGUGGGGAGCGAACAGG
rnacentral:rRNA from 1 species